AACUCCUGUUUCUGCCCCAAGUUCUUCCGCUGCCAUAGAAUUAUGGGUUCUGGUUAUGGAGAAGAAAAAGCCACUAGAUGUUUGAUGUACACCUUUGAUACAACCGUAUGUCUAAUAGCUAGUGGAUCGUGUGAUGGUACUGAAAAGCUUCAUGUGUGCUUUCUAGAUGGAUGGAGGCUCAGUACUUCGCUAUAUUU
rnacentral:snoRNA from 1 species